UUGACCUCGGAUCAGGUAGGACUACCCGCUGAACUUAAGCAUAUCAAUAAGCGGAGGAAAAGAAACCAACAGGGAUUGCCUCAGUAACGGCGAGUGAAGCGGCAACAGCUCAGAUUUGGAAUCUGGCCCCCAGGGCCCGAGUUGUAAUCUGGAGAGGAUGCUUCUGGCGCGGCGCCUUCCGAGUUCCCUGGAACGGGACGCCGGAGAGGGUGAGAGCCCCGUACGGUCGGACGCCCAGCCUCUGUGAAGCUCCUUCGACGAGUCGAGUAGUUUGGGAAUGCUGCUCAAAAUGGGAGGUAAAUUUCUUCUAAAGCUAAAUACCGGCCAGAGACCGAUAGCGCACAAGUAGAGUGAUCGAAAGAUGAAAAGCACUUUGAAAAGAGGGUUAAACAGUACGUGAAAUUGUUGAAAGGGAAGCGCCCGUGGCCAGACUUGCGCCCCGCGGACCACCCGGCGUUCUCGCCGGUGCACUCCGCGAGGCGCAGGCCAGCAUCGGUUCUCCCAGGGGGACAAAGGCUGCGGGAACGUAGCUCCUACGGGAGUGUUAUAGCCCGCGGCGCCAUGCCCCUGGGGGGACCGAGGACCGCGCUUCGGCAAGGAUGC
rnacentral:rRNA from 2 species